AGAUCGGGACCUGAAACAACCCAAGAAGAAUUCUUUGAAGGUACCAUGAACCAACCAGUGCAAGAUUUCCUAGAUGUAUAUAAUUGUCUUGUUUUUACAUAUGGUGUUACAAAUGCUGGGAAAACUUACACUUUCCAAGGUUGCAGCGGCACAUACCCUUUCGGGCAAAGUAAGCUAACUCAUUUCCUUCAAGGCUUUUCAGUGGAAAAGCGAAGGUGUAUAUGAUAGUGAACAUCAGCAAAUGUUCAUCAGCAUAUGAGGAAACACUCAAUGUGCUAAAGUUCUCAGGCAUUGCAUGAAAAGUUUUAGUUAUGGACACACCUGUUCUUCCUGAAGAUCUGUCACUUAGCCAGAAAUCAGCAGGAG